CCGCUGGUGCCGCUCUCGCUGUUCCCUCAGUGGUUUCCUGAGGGGGAGAGAGAUCUCCUGAGGGGAGAGGAAUCGCCGAGCUCCCGGGAGAAGCUCCGCGCCACGCUCCGAUGGGCUCCCAGGACCAUAUAUGGUCCCUCUAUAUCGCCUGCCUGCAUCCUGCUGUUUCCAUAAGGGAAGAAACAAAAGCGGUGUAAAACCAGCACUGGUGUUAUUUCAGCUUUUUCCUAUACAAGGAAAUGGGAAGGCAGUGAAAAAUGUUGGAAUCUGUGCAUAGUUUUCAGCUUGUAUGCCACACACACUAUAGGGUUACAUAAUAAAGUGAGGCAAAAGGGAAAGUGUGGGAAUUAUGUAGUGGUUUCUGCAGAGAGAGACCUGAGGCUUUGCAGAGGCUUCUUAGACAAGCCCUGCAAGCACUAUGCAACAAGAUUUUCAUACAGUGUCCAGUUUCCUGACCUGCUGCUGCAGCUUGCAAGAAAUAAAUACAAAAAUUUGUGACAAACACCUGAGGACUUUCCAUUUCCUCCAGAGAUGCUGCUGUUUAAAAAAGAAAUCAAAAGUCCCUGUGCUUGCUCCCUGGAGGGUGUGGUGUCUUUUGCAGAAAUAACAAGAAUUGUGAGCUUAAACGCAAUUGUUUUAAGAAACACCUACAUUUUUUCGACUAUCAUUUCCCAAUGGCAGCAAUGUAGAAAUUUAAAAAUCAACUCUGAGGGGACAUUUCCAAAGUAUAGAUGUUACCUUUCAAACUUAAAAGUUCCCCCAAGCUUUCCUUGGCACCUUAUUCUCCAUAAAAGGGGUUCAUUUAUGCUAGAAAUUCAGGGGUUCUGGUGGUAA
rnacentral:lncRNA from 1 species